GACGAACGCUGGCGGCGUGCUUAACACAUGCAAGUCGAACGGAAAGGCCCUGCUUUUGUGGGGUGCUCGAGUGGCGAACGGGUGAGUAACACGUGAGUAACCUGCCCUUGACUUUGGGAUAACUUCAGGAAACUGGGGCUAAUACCGGAUAGGAGCUCCUGCUGCAUGGUGGGGGUUGGAACGUUUCGGCGGUUGGGGAUGGACUCGCGGCUUAUCAGCUUGCUGGUGGGGUAGUGGCUUACCAAGGCUUUGACGGGUAGCCGGCCUGAGAGGGUGGCCGGCCACAAUGGGACUGAGAUACGGCGCAGACUCCUACGGGAGGCAGCAGUGGCGAAUAUUGCACAAUGGGCGGAAGCCUGAUGCAGCAACGCCGCGUGCGGGAUGACGGCCUUCGGGUUGUGAACCGCUUUCGCCUGUGACGAAGCGGGAGUGACGGUAAUGGGUAAAGAAGCACCGGCUAACUACGUG
rnacentral:rRNA from 1 species